rnacentral:rRNA from 1 species
GACGAACGCUGGCGGCGUGCUUAACACAUGCAAGUCGAACGGAAAGGCCCUGCUUGCAGGGUACUCGAGUGGCGAACAGGUGAGUAACACGUGGGUGAUCUGCCCUGCACUUCGGGAUAAGCCUGGGAAACUGGGUCUAAUACCGGAUAGGAGCCAUUUUUAGUGUGAUGGUUGGAAAGUUUUUUCGGUGUAGGAUGAGCUCGCGGCCUAUCAGCUUGUUGGUGGGGUAAUGGCCUACCAAGGCGGCGACGGGUAGCCGGCCUGAGAGGGUGGACGGCCACAGUGGGACUGAGAUACGGCCCAGACUCCUACGGGAGGCAGCAGUGGGGAAUAUUGCACAAUGGGCGCAAGCCUGAUGCAGCGACGCCGCGUGGGGGAGGACGGCCUUCGGGUUGUAAACUCCUUUCGCUAGGGACGAAGCUUUUUGUGACGGUACCUAGAGAAGAAGCACCGGCUAACUACGUG